GACGAACGCUGGCGGCGUGCCUAAUACAUGCGAGUAGAACGCUGAAGGAGGAGCUUGCUUCUCUGGAUGAGUUGCGAACGGGUGAGUAACGCGUAGGUAACCUGCCUGGUAGCGGGGGAUAACUAUUGGAAACGAUAGCUAAUACCGCAUAACAGUAGAUAUCGCAUGAUAUCUACUUGAAAGGUGCAAUUGCAUCACUACCAGAUGGACCUGCGUUGUAUUAGCUAGUUGGUGAGGUAACGGCUCACCAAGGCGACGAUACAUAGCCGACCUGAGAGGGUGGGCGGCCACUCUGGGACGGAGACACGGCCCAGACUCCUACGGGAGGCAGCAGUAGGGAGGCUUCGGCAAUGGACGGAAGUCUGACCGAGCAACGCCGCGUGAGUGAAGAAGGUUUUCGGAUCGUAAAGCUCUGUUGUAAGAAAAGAACGAGUGUGAGAGUGGAAAGUUCACACUGUGACGGUAUCUUACCAGAAAGGGACGGCUAACUACGUG
rnacentral:rRNA from 1 species